rnacentral:lncRNA from 1 species
AGAGUGUGCUGUCCAAGAUUUUACUUGCUGCCCAAGUGUCUUCAAGAUGCUGCCCAAGUGUCUUCAAGAUGCUGCCCAAGUGUCUUCAAGAUGCUGCCCAAGAGGUACUUGCUGCCCAAGUUGUGUCUAGAAAGGAAGGAAUCGCGUUGCAAGGGCUUCAGAAGGAAGGAGGCGCGCGGAUGCUCUUCAGGGGGAAGGUGGGCGCGCGGCAUGCAUGUGCAGAAGGGAAAGUGAAUCUGUCCAG